UUCUCCACCUCCUUCCUGCCUUCAGCUAGCUAGCUAGAGCUGAUGUUUCAGGCGAUGUUACGUUAAAGCUACAAAAUUGGCUAAACAAAGUUUUUUUAAUGCGUCUUUUAAAGAGUUGAGGACGAAGAAACGCCAUUGCCUCCAUUGGCCGAGGCUAGCCAGCCCAGUUCUUCAGCCUCAUUAGCCCUCAAUGAGGUUAGCUCGGCAGCUAGCUCGUUAGCGGUAGCGCCCUUCCCCCGAUCAACGUGAAGCGGGCUAACCUGCUUAUGUUUUUGAUUUAGUUGCAACUGAUGAACCACCUUCAAAGCCAUAUUUGAAGGUAUUUUCCCUGCACAGUCAAUGGUGAUGGACAGAGUGGAAAAUCUAGGUGCUAUGGACAGUUUUCUUGGUUGGAAUACAGCGUGAAAGCGGACGCCAGGCGGCGUUCACACUUCUGAUCCUCACAUCAGAACUUGGUCUGGACGGGGUGGUGGUCUGGGUGCUGUAGCCGCUGGAACAGUGCAGAGAGUCCCUGCUGCUCCUCGGGGCGUCUGAAUUCAACGCACCUAAAGUUAACGCCAGCUGAUCCCGGGCCGAGCACGACUGGGAGAAAGAGAGGAUGAGAAAUAGAGAGGAGGGUGAGAGGAAACAAGACGAGGAGAUGAAACAAGGAAAGAAGGAGAUGGAGGGAACAAGGAGAGGAAAAUAAAAGAGACAAGGGGAGAGAGAUCAGAUGAGAGGCUGUGUCCUCCUCUCCCUCUGGUCUCUGGCUGCCCCCCAGUGGAUGAUGUGGAUUUCUAAUCAGAAGUAUGAACUCAGUUCUCAGACGCAGACAUGGCUCGAGCUCUCUCUCCAUGGUGUGAGUAGGCGUUGUGUGGGGGGGCCAACAUGCCGUUCUCUGCCGAUCCGAUCCCUCCAGCAGCAAGCUGAUUGGUCGAGCCAACUGCAUCCUGUCAUAAAUAA